CCGCGCCUCCCCGGUAGGCGGAGCUCUUUCCUCUGGAGUGGGGCGGCGAGCGCGCGCCUCCUCUCGCGCUCCCGUGACGCAGCCGGCGGACCUGAUGAGACGACUGUCUUCACUCUGGACCGGAACCUUCGGACGCCUACAGACCCGGGCCGGGGCCAGCCUCUCGUGUGCGGCGCAACGAUGAGCGUCUCCGCGGGGACGAGGACCUGAGCUUGCGGUCCGCUCGGACACUUCCCGUCCUCCGACUAGAACCGCUCUGCACGAUGUGGACCUCCGGGAUGCUCUUGCUGCUCUGGCUUGGUUCCGGAUCCGCGGAGCUCCAGCAGGAGACCGAGACCCGGAGACUGCCUCCUCCGGGGAAGUUGGAUUUUGGAUACGUGCCCGCCGGAGUUUACGAGACGGUGGCCCACUACGAACCGGGACCGAUCGGGAUCUUGUUCUACAUGGUCCACACGUUCCUGUGUUUGGUCCAGCCCAACGCCUUUCCUCAAGAUCUCCUGAUCCGACUGACCAAGGACCGGUUCGGAGCCCUUCAGACCGAAUAUCAGAAGCCAGAGAACAUAGUGCUGAGCCUGCAGGCUCUCUACUAUGAGAUGGGCUUCCUGGUGUGUGCGGCGCUGGGCCUCUUCUUCACUGUCCUGAUGCCGCUGGUCGGGCUCUUCUUCUGCAUGUGCCGCUGCUGCGACAACUGCGGCGGAGAGAUGCACCAGCGGCAGCGGAAGAACGCAGACUGUCGGAGAGGACUGCUGGGGACGCUGCUGUUCUCCACCUCGCUGGUCAUCACGAUGGGUGUAUUGUGUGCCUAUGCUGCAAACCAGAACCUGAGCUCGCAGGUGAAGAACAUCCGUCGCCUGGUCAACAGCAACAUGAGGGACCUGCACACCUUCAUCAACGACACGCCCACGCAAAUUGACUAUCUGAUCUCCCAGUACGCCACCGCCAAGAACAAAGUCGUCUACGACCUAGAUAACAUAGGUCCUCUCCUGGGCGGAGCGAUCCAUGAUCAGCUGGAUAAGGAGGUGCGCCCUGCUCUGGACCAGGUCCUGGAUAUGGCUGGAGUGAGAAUCGAUCGAACUGUCAAAGCCAUGCGGGAGACCAAAGAUGCUCUGGAGAACGUCAGCGUCUCGCUGCAGGUUCUGCAGGAGGGGACCGGGAAACUCAGCUUCAACCUGAGCCUGGUCCGCUCCAGCAUCAACCGCACUCUGGAGGACCCCGGGUGCCACGACGAGGAGUCGGAUGCCACGUCGGCUCAGCUGUGCCGCAACAUCCGGCAGUCGCUGAGUCAGCUGCACGUCAGCGCCAACUACACUCGGCUUCCCAGAGUGGACCUUCAGCUGGAGAGGAUGAACGAUGUGUUGAAGACAGACCUGAGCAGCGUGGUGCAGCAGGGCUCGGCCUCGCUGAACAACACUCCUCACAUGGUGGUGGAGCAGACCCGGAGCGUCGUGGAGAACGUGCUGAACCUGGUGGACGCCGUCGGCAGCAACAUCAGCAGCUUCUCCAAGGGUUUCCCAGUCCAGAACUCUCUGUCCAACUUCACCAUCCUCAUCAGCCACGCGCACGCAAAGAUCGAGGACUACUACCCCGAGAUCGACAAGAUGGACUUCUACAGGUGGAUCGUGUGUAUCGCUCUUUGCUGCAUGGUGGUCCUGGUUCUGGCCUUCAACUACCUGGGCCUGCUGUGUGGGACUCUGGGCUACGACAAGCAUGCCUCACCCACCACGCGCGGCUGCGUCUCCAACACAGGCGGGACCAUGCUCAUGGCUGGUGUCGGGUUCAGCUUCAUCUUCUCCUGUCUGCUCAUGGGCCUGCUGACGGUACUUUUCCUGGCCGGAGGAAACGUGGAGAAGCUGGUUUGUGAACCCUUCAAGUCCAGAGAGAUCUUCACGGUGGUGGACGCUCCUCAUCUCAUCCACCCUGAGUGGAAGAAUUUCAUCCCCGGGUUUUUGUACAACGACUCGGACUUGGACCUGACAGCUGAGAGCCUCUACAGCACCUGCAAGGAGAACAAGGGGAUCUAUUCGGCUCUGCGUCUGGACAAAGUCUUCAACGUGUCGUCUUACCUGAACACCACAGCGCUCACGAGGGACGUGGCCACUCAUCUGGACCGGAUCAAGAUCGACCUGCGAGGAAUCGUCCUGCUGGAGUCCGAGGGUCGUCAGAACCUGCUGGACUUCAGCGAAGUGGGUCUGGCCGACAUAAACUUCGCCGACUACCUGGAGGAGGUCAACAAAGGUGUGACGGUGGAGGACCUGCUGUCGUUUGCCAAAGAGCUAGAGGCUCAGACGGACCUGAUGCCGCGAGGACAGCUGCAGACGGCUCUGAAAGGCCACGUGGGCACGCUGCGACAGAUCCACCGCCAGCAGAUCAUCCCCAUGGAGCAGGCCAUGAAGUACGUGAGAGCCCGGAGUGCACUGAACCAGAGCAUGAGGUUCCUGGAGAGGACCGCCUCGGACCUGCCGAACAAAGUGCUGGCUGUCCUGGAGGCCGUCGACGCCGCGCAGCGCCUCAUCUCCCAUAACGCCUCGCGGCUGAUCCAGCAGGAAACCUCCAAAUACUCAGCCACCAUCGUGGGGUACUUCCACCAGUAUAUCCAGUGGGUCAAGACGUCUCUGGCGAUGGAGGUGGCGCCGUGCAAACCCUUCAGCAACAUGGUGGACACAGCAGCGAUUGUCGCCUGCAACUUCCUGGUGGACUCCAUGAACGUGUUCUGGAUGGGUCUGGGCUGCAGCACGCUCUUCCUGCUCCCCAACGUCAUCCUCGCCGUCAAGCUCGCCAAGUACUACCGCCGGAUGGACACGGAGGACGUCUAUGACGACUCCUCUGUCUCGGGGACGUGGCACUUUACUUUGUGAUAACCAUUUCUCCUGUUUCCAUGCUCCACGUCUCCGUCCGCUUCCUCGCUCACGCACUCUGCACUUUACUCCGCGUCCUGCCGCGCGUCUGUCUCCACCGUGCUCAGCUCUCCUUCAUCCAGAUGUUUACUGGACUCUCGGUGCUGCUCUGCUGUAAAGUGCCCUCUAGCUGUCAGGAAGGGCUCCUGCUCUCUGUUGUUCAUAAGCUGUUCAUGCUGCGGACAGCAGUUGUCCUCAGCUGCACGUCCACCUCAUCCCACCGUCCUGUGUCUGCCAUGUCUGUUUUCAGUAUGGAAACUGGUAAUAAUGGUUAUCAUAGCGAGCCGCCGGCGCCAACCCCCGACCCCCUGAUGACCAGGUAAAGUGACGACGGCGUUGCCUGCAUGAGGUGGAGGGGUCCUUGUAUAGUUAAGCUAGCUCCGUUUCUGACAAUCAAUGGUCACCUGACCUCCAAAUUACCUUCAAAGACUCGAGAUGUGUUGAAGCUGAACGCACCUCAGUCCUUCUGCUGCUGUUAGCAUCUCCGCUAGCUGUCUGCGGACCAGCAGACGGCCUUCAUCUGUAGAAGCUUGUAGCUCUCAUCCUGAGGAACAUGUCUGAUGCUGGGAGAGGCUCUCUCUCGGAAACCUCGCCUGCAUGUCAGCUGUCUUCACCCUGAACUGUUUCUGGUGUUCUGCAUGUGUCCCGGGUCCGGAGGUCCAGAGUCAGUCAGAGUCCCACAAACGUUCACCUGAUCAUUCUGUUCAGAGAGAGGCAAGAGACUCACCUGCCGUCGGCUUCUUCUUCUUCCGUUCGUGUUUUCAUUUCUGUUGCUGGUAACCUGCGUGUGGGAUGCUCCGCUGACUCUCCCGGUGGAGAGCAGAACUCAUGGUUGCCCUAUAGUGAUGGCAACGCCUCAGGUCCAGCUGAACCUCGACCCGUUCUGCUCUCCACCUGCUUCCGUGAACGCCUCUCCUCUUGCCUCUGGUUCUUCCCUCGCUCAUGUGUGGUCUUUGUGUCCCUGUGACGUCAGCGUCCCGACCUACGACCCCGUCAGCAGGUUCCCACGAGCCUCGGCUCCUCCGAGACACAUCGACUGGUGAUGCAGCAGCUUGUUCUAGUGCUUUCUCUUCUGCUCGCCUGCAGGAACACCAUCAUGGUCCAGCAGGCAGCGCUAUAGUCGCCGUCUUCAUUGAGUGUAACUGCAUCUAGUGAGUGACAGGACUUCUAACAGCUGUGGACCUUCUCUCCUCAGUGCCCGUGACCACUGGAGCUGAAGUCCUCAUGCUCCAUGUGAAGAAUCCAUGAAGCAGAAGAUUCAGUGAGCUCACCUGAACCUCCACUCCCAGAGACACUGCCUCCAUCUGAGCCAGAGACCUCUUCAGCGUUUACAUGUCCCGCCACAGCGAGCCGGACUCCCUCUGCGAUGCCUGAACUUUAGUGUCCGACGCAGCGUGAAGACUCAUGUGUCAGCUGGCUGCGACUUCAGACUCAGACUCUUGGUUUGUUCUGUCAUCAGCCCAGUCACUGCAGUGGAGACACGUGAGACUGGAGCCUUCUUUGUGUGUCAGUAGCCUGAGUAAGGGACGUUUGGAAUUCACAUCCUGACAGGCAGGUGGCGCCAGCUCUUCCUUUUUUGUUUUUUUGUUUUUUACUUAUAGAAGUAUCUUUUGUAACUCAGAUUCUAGUGAAGACAUGGUGCUGGUUGGCUUCCGCUUUCAUCCAUUCGCCGCGGACAAACUUUUGCUUUGACUCGUUUCGAUGAGAAACUGUUUCUCGAGCCAAACAAGUUCACCGCUCUUUUGUGUGUGAACUUGCAACGUUAAAGUGGAGCUAGCUGGCUCGCAUGCUAAUGGCUAGCGGACAAUCUGCGGCGGUGGUGCAUGUGGUGGACGUUUGUGACGUAAAUGUGAAUAUUAAUCCCAGGAGAGUUAUGAUCUCCAUCCAAGCUACACUAACUGCUGUUUUAUGUCAUUAGCUUUUAGCGAUAACAACUAUCUUAUAAUGUCGACAAGUUUCCUGACUCCAAAGAUGAAGCUCUGUUUUUACUCAUCCAUUCAUGCUAGUUAGCGUAGCUCAGCUCCUGACCUUUGUUUUUGAUUCUCUGAAAAAUACUGUGAAAACUUGGAGGGAACAAUCGAGUCAGAGGAAAGCCUGAACUGCUGGUUCCACCUUCAGUGAGCCUGCGUGGAAUGGCUGGCUUGACUCACCGCGGAGGUGUAUAAAUGUGAAUAAAGUUUGUUACUUUCACUUCCUCCUUGACUGACUUGCACGUCUCGAGUGUGUCCCUUGAAGAGGCUUAUCGGUCAUCGACCACUUGGUCCUCCACAGCCAUCGUCUCCCGCCAUCCUGAUCAUUUGAAGCUC